rnacentral:rRNA from 1 species
AUUGAACGCUGGCGGCAGGCCUAACACAUGCAAGUCGAACGAGUGGCGGACGGGUGAGUAAUGUCUGGGAAAAUACCCGAUGGAGGGGGAUAACUACUGGAAACGGUAGCUAAUACCGCAUACCAUCGGAUGUGCCCAGAUGGGAUGAGCUAGUAGGGGGGGUAACGGCUCACCUAGUCGACGAUCCCUAGCUGGUCUGAGAGGAUGACCAGCCACACUGGAACUGAGACACGGUCCAGACUCCUACGGGAGUCAGCAGUGGGGAAUAUUGCACAUUGGGCGCAAGCCUGAUGCAGCCAUGCCGCGUGUAUGAAGAAGGCCUUCGGGUUGUAAAGUACUUUCAGCGAGGAGGCGUUACUCGCAGAAGAAGCACCGGCUAACUCCGUGCCAGCAGCCGCGGUAAUAC